CAGCAGCCGCGGUAAUACGAAGGGUGCAAGCGUUAAUCGGAAUUACUGGGCGUAAAGCGUGCGUAGGCGGUUUGUUAAGUCUGUUGUGAAAUCCCCGGGCUCAACCUGGGAAUGGCAGUGGAUACUGGCUCGCUAGAGUGUGUCAGAGGAUGGUGGGAUUCCCGGUGUAGCGGUGAAAUGCGUAGAGAUCGGGAGGAACACCGAUGGCGAAGGCAGCCCCCUGGGCCAAUACUGACGCUCAUGCACGAAAGCGUGGGGAGCAAACAGGAUUAGAUACCCCCGUAGUCCCUGUCUCUUAUAC
rnacentral:rRNA from 1 species